rnacentral:misc_RNA from 1 species
GAUGAAGAACGCAGCGAAAUGCGAUAAGUAAUGUGAAUUGCAGAAUUCAGUGAAUCAUCGAAUCUUUGAACGCACCUUGCGCCCUUUGGCUAUUCCGAAGGGCAUGCCUGUUUGAGUAUCAUGAACACCUCAACUCUUCACGGCUUGCCGUGAUGAGUUUGGACUUUGGGGGUCUUGCUGGCCUACGAGCCAGCUCCUCUCAAAUGUAUUAGCUUGCCGGUGUUUGGUGGCAUCACAGGUGUGAUAACUAUCUACGCUUGUGGUUUUCCACUAGGUAACCUUCAGCAAUGGAGGUUCACCGGAGCUCACAAAUGUCUCUCCUUGCCAAGGACAGAUUUUGACCAUUUGAUCUCAAAUCAGGCAGGACUACCCGCUGAACUUAAGCAUAUCAAUAAGCGGAGGA